rnacentral:sRNA from 1 species
GCGGCAGUCACUCGUCGCGGUGCUCGGGG